AGUGUGUUGGCAGAGUAGUGCAAUUGAUUUAGGAUCAAUUUAUGGAAUUAAUACCACACACUA
rnacentral:tRNA from 1 species